rnacentral:rRNA from 1 species
UACGGAGGGGGCUAGCGUUAUUCGGAAUUAUUGGGCGUAAAGGGCGUGUAGGCGGUCGUACAUGUCUCAUGUGAAAGCCCUCGGCUCAACCGAGGAACUGCAUGGGAAACGGUGCGACUUGAGUCCGGGAGAGGAUAGUGGAAUUCCCAGUGUAGCGGUGAAAUGCGUAGAUAUUGGGAGGAACACCGGUGGCGAAGGCGGCUAUCUGGACCGGUACUGACGCUGAGACGCGAAAGCCAGGGGAGCAAACGGG